UACGUAGGGCGCAAGCGUUGUCCGGAAUUAUUGGGCGUAAAGAGCUCGUAGGCGGUCUGUCGCGUCUGUUGUGAAAACUCGAGGCUCAACCUCGGGCUUGCAGUGGAUACGGGCAGACUAGAGUGCGGUAGGGGAGACUGGAAUUCCUGGUGUAGCGGUGGAAUGCGCAGAUAUCAGGAGGAACACCGAUGGCGAAGGCAGGUCUCUGGGCCGCGAACUGACGCUGAGGAGCGAAAGCAUGGGGAGCAAACAGG
rnacentral:rRNA from 1 species